AUGCAUCUCUGACAGACCUGGUGCAGUUAAUGUCUGUUGCUAAGGUUUCCACAACACAUGCAGUAAAAAGAAGGUCCUUGCACUUUCUAUCUGGUUGUGGCAGCCAGGACUGAAUGGGGGAAUACAGGG
rnacentral:snoRNA from 1 species